rnacentral:rRNA from 1 species
GGAGUUAGCCGGUGCUUCUUCUGUGAGUGAUGUCCUUCCUGCCGGUUAUUGACCCGCAGGCCUUCUUCCUCACUGAAAGUGCUUUACAACCCGAAGGCCUUCUUCACACACGCGGCAUGGCUGGAUCAGGGUUGCCCCCAUUGUCCAAUAUUCCCCACUGCUGCCUCCCGUAGGAGUCUGGGCCGUGUCUCAGUCCCAGUGUGGCUGAUCAUCCUCUCAGACCAGCUACGGAUCGUCGCCUUGGUGAGCCGUUACCUCACCAACCAGCUAAUCCGACAUAGGCUCAUCCGAUAGCGCGAGGCCCGAAGGUCCCCCGCUUUCCCCCGUAGGGCGUAUGCGGUAUUAGCCUGGGUUUCCCCCAGGUUAUCCCCCACUACCGGGCAGAUUCCUAUGCAUUACUCACCCGUCCGCCGCUCGCCACCAGGGAGCAAGCUCCCCGUGCUGCCGCUCGACUUGCAUGUGUUAGGCCUGCCGCCAGCGUUCAAUCUGAGCCAGAAUCAAACUCUGA